rnacentral:rRNA from 1 species
ACUCAAAUGAAUAGACGGGGGCUCACACAAGCGGUGGAGCAUGUGGCUUAAUUCGAGGCUACGCGCAAAACCUUAUCCCGGGCUUGACAUGCACGGAUUAGCCGGCGGAAACGUCGGUGAGGCCGCAAGGUACAACGUGCACAGGUGCUGCAUGGCUGUCGUCAGCUCGUGUCGUGAGAUGUUGGGUUAAGUCCCGUAACGAGCGAAACCCCUGCGCCCAGUUGCCACCGGGUCAUGCCGAGCACUCUGGGCGGACCGCCGGCGUUAAGCCGGAGGAAGGCGGGGAUGACGUCAAGUCCUCAUGGCCCUUAUGCCCGGGGCUGCACACGUGCUACAAUGGGCCGGACAGAGCGUCGCGAUGCCGCAAGGCCGAGCCAAUCGCAAAAACCGGCCCCCAGUUCGGAUCGCGGGCUGCAACCCGCCCGCGUGAAGCCGGAAUCGCUAGUAAUCGCGGAUCAGCACUGCCGCGGUGAAUGGGUUCCUGAGCCUUGUACACACCGCCCGU